UUCGCCACUUUUGCUGUUAACCUGUUGUUUCCUUCCGUUGUCCUUGUCUUUUAUUUUGAUUUCUGUGGACGGCUCACUUCUACCUUCUAACCAUUCACAGUCACCAGUAUACAGAUGACACCCGACUCUCUCUCUCUGUGUUUUCUGUCUAAAUACAAGGAGGCAGCUUUGCUUCUGGCUUGGUGUCUGGUGUCAGUAAUGGAUGGGGUGAAGGUGAAUAAACCUAAACUUAAUCCGGGGAAGACAAGAGAUGCUCGUGGUCAGACAAAAGAUACAGCCUGCGCAGGAUGGGGGUUUACACUCCCCUUCAAAACACAGACGCGUGGGUGGAUUCAUCUCCGAGCUUGGAUGCCCAAAUUUCGGCGGUGGCCAGGAGUGCCUUUGCACAGUUGGAACUAGUCCACCAGUUGUGCCCAUUUCUGGAGAGCUGACUCGGUGGUGGUACAUCCUCCAGAGGAAGGAGAAUGAAGAAGAGCGAGUCCCUCCACACUCCGAAUCCUGUUGGGUUUUUUUUGGAAGCUCCUUCACUUUCCUCCACUGGCUGUCAUCAGUCCAUCGGUGGGACUACAAGGAGCUUUGCUCGAUGUGAUGCACUUUCUGAUAAGGCCACAACCAGAAGACUCUGUUCCAGGCUCCUCUUUUGGACAAAGAGUGGCUUAGAACUGUCCUCUUGAGUCUGCCUGAGGAAUAAUCAUAAUUAAUAAUAAUAAUUUUAUGAAUGAAAGAUUUUUGCAUCUGAAGCAAGAAUUCUAGGCCUACCAUCCAUCUUUCUUGAUCAGUUUUAUUCAAAUGGAUGAGUCAGGAAUGCUGCUACCCACCAUGAGAUGUUCAUUUUAUGUAGCGAAAGGAGGUCAUCUUCAAGAGAUGGAUUGUCCCUUCUACUCACUUCCAGAGGCAGAACUAAUCAGCCGAUCAAAUGGUGCUGGGGCUCCAUGGAGAGAGAGGAACCAACCCUGCCUGGACCAAUCUCUGUAGGGACUUAGAGGCCCCAGGGAAGGAACCGCCUCAGAGACUUGAACAGGAGGGAUUGGGGAUUUUUUCUGUGGAACAGUAUUCUCUCUGGCCAAAAGGGCUUCUCCCGAUUCCCGACUGCGAAGGAGUUUUUGUCCAAUUUGUAAUUUCUGAUCCCUGACUAAUCAGAACAUGUUCCGGUGGUAUUUGUUGGCGUGCGUGCGCGCGUGCACACACACACACCAUCCCUCUGUGUUUGGGGUGGUUAAGAACAUUUUGGAGGUGAGAGCAUCACGACGCCAGGUCUCUCCCUCUCUGCUGCCCAGCUCUUCCCUUUUCUCCAUCCCUCACUUUAUUUCCUAAGAAAGGUACCUGGAGUCAAAGGCUUUGAGUUCAGAGAAAGCCUUGGGCUGGUCAGCAUCCUCUUCAUCUCUGCGGCAGCCUUGGUCUGGUGGAGCAAAAGCAAAGCUAAAGAAAGACAAUUAAAAACAUGUGGUACUUUAAAGCCUAAGUUCUGUCACUGUGGAUCAAGUCCACGUCCUCAAACGUAAGAGUGAGCCAAUAAGGCUGUUAAAUUUACACACAGUCUCUUGGCCUGGUGGGGAUACAGAGCGUGGACAGAUCGGUAAUUGUUUAUUAAUAAAAUCAUAUGCUUAUUAAUAAAAUCAUAUGCUAUCAGGCUUUGAA